rnacentral:misc_RNA from 1 species
GGGGGAUAUAGCUGGUGCGCAACCACCGGGGGACAGACACCAAAAAUCUUGGAAAGCUGUCAGUCUGAGCGUUAGCAAGUAAAAUCAGAUAAAACUUUCGAACAAAAAAUAUAUAUGAGUUCCGGCAUCGAUGAAGAACGCAGCGAAAUCGAUAAGUAAUGUGAAUUGCAGAAUUCCGUGAAUCAUCGAAUCUUUGAACGCACAUUGCGCCCUCUGGUAUUCCGGGGGGCAUGCCUGUUCGAGCGUCAUUUCAACCCCUCAAGCCCGGCUUGUGUGAUGGACGACCGUCCGGCCCCCUCUUUCGGGGGCGGGACGCGCCCGAAAAGCAGUGGCCAGGCCGCGAUCCGGCUUCCUGGGCGAAUGGGCAGUCAAACCGAGCGCCCUCGGACCGGCCGCUCUGGCCUUCCCCCAAUCUGUGCUGAUUUUUUUUCGAGU